rnacentral:lncRNA from 1 species
GUUUUGAAUUCUUUUGCUUAACAAAUUGGAUAAUCUUUAGGCCCCAGAAAAUCUGGAUAAGUCACUGACUGUCCUCCAGAUUACAGCCAGGUUGGGCUCCUUAUAGCCGAAGUCUGCCCAGGUGAUGACUCCCUAAUUUGAACACUUUGAUGACUUUCAUCCCUUCCAUUGCGCAUGCGCCCUCCUCACCUGCCCACCUGCCUCUCCAUCCUAGGCACCAGAGACACUGCACGUCUCCGGCUCCUGGAACAUGCUCCUCCUCCUUUGACCAUGUGGUUCCCUCUAAUCACAGCGACUACCUCAGUAUUUGUUUGUUUGAUAAACUUCUGUUGAUCCUUCACAAUGCAGCAAGGCAGAAAACCAUGCAGGUGCAUCUGGCCAGACAACAUGAUGCAGCCUGGAAUUGCCAUCUCUCCUCCUGGGAGGUUUAUCCCUCCCAUCUGCUACAUUUCACCCAAAUGAGGAUGCAGAUCAGAAACAUGACUUGGAGGACAAGGAUGCCCACUUCGCUCAGCUGGCCUUGGGGAUUACUGGUCGUCACUCAGUUUAUGUGACCAUGUUGGAACCUCUAGACGCUGACUCUGAUCUGCUGUCAUUAGAAACACCAAACAUUUACCAAAAGAGCCAAGUCACUGAACCCAAGGGGUUAGUUUGUUUUGAAAACAGACCUAGACUUUCUACCAAGAGCCAGAAAAUCAUUGAAAACAUAAAACAACAAAAAUCUGUGGUGUGUUUGUAAAAAACGAAGACUCUGACCCUGAUCUAAACCAGAGUAUUUUUCUCCUGGCUCCCUCCCUUUUUCCCUUAAUUAGGCUAACUGGAAAGGAAAGGCUUUCAUCAGACCCAAACAGUAAUCUUCCUACCCUAAUCUCUAGGACAAAACAGAGAAUCUGGUCUGGAAUUGAAUUUGAAAUAUUAAAGAAAAAUAACUACCAGCUUAACGCUGUCACUGUCCCGUGUUUAUUUUUCUUUCUUUUAUGUCUGAUUUCAAGGAGAAAAUAAUGUCAUCUGCUGGAAAUUUGAGCAUGUCUGCAUUUUGAGAUAAUUGGAAUUAACGUCGGAGGGCCACACUAACACCAAACAAGCCCCGCCCUUCCUAUGUGUGUGAAACAUUUUGUAAUGACUUUCCUUUAAUCUGGGAGCCUGGCAGGCUGCCGCAACCCACCUAGAUCCAAGCACCACAGUUUCUUUCUGAAAAAGGAAAAUUUAUAUACUGGCAGUUAGAAAUGAGGGCAUCGAGAAAACGGAGUUCUGCCAAUUGCUUUCUCCAUUUGGGUCUUUUCUCCAUCUCCGUUUCCUCCUUUUUCCCCUCGGAUGCCAGUGCUUCCGGCACAUGUAGCGACGACCCUUCACCUGACAGCUAUUGUUUAGGCAAGGCUUCCAGAGGAAGGGACAGAGAUGAAUUUUCCGUAAGGAGCUGUAGACUCAGGGAACUCGGUGCUCAGCCAUCAUCUGUGAGAUUCGUUCAGCGAGGAGGGCCAGACACAAUGGUUAUUUGUUGUGGGGCAGACAAUAGUUGACAGGAUAUUCAGCUUUUCAAUAGACUGCUUUGCG